UAGGGUUUGAUUUAGGGUUUAGGGUUUGGUUUAGGAUUUGUUUGGAAUUUGGUUUAAAGUUUGUUUAGAGUUUGGUUUAGGAUUUAGGGUUUGAUUUAGGAUUUAGGAUUUUAUUAGGAUGUAAGAUUUAAUUAGUUUUGGCCUAAAGUUUGAAUGAAGUUCAAUAGGAUUUUGACUAGAAUUAAAUUAAGAUUGAAUUGAGAUGUAUUUGAGUGAUAUUUGUGAUCAUUCUAAUAUUUCUUUAAGAAUUUUUAUUGUUGAUUUGAAAUUUCUUUGAGGUUUUUUUGUAUUUGAUUAAGCUUGCAUAGCAUUAUUAUGGUCUAAUUAGAGCAUUUUUAGUAUUCUAUUAGAAUUAGAAUUUUGUUAUUGUAAUUUCCAUUCUUUCUUGUAGAGCUAAAUGCCCAGAGCA
rnacentral:lncRNA from 1 species